GACGAACCGUGCAAACGUUGUUCGGAAUCACUGGGCUUAAAGGGCGCGUAGGCGGGCUCGCCAGUCAGGGGUGAAAGCCCACGGCCUCAACCGUGGAAGUGCCUUUGAUACUGCGAGUCUCGAGGGAGGUAGGGGCGUGCGGAACUUCCGGUGGAGCGGUGAAAUGCGUAGAUAUCGGAAGGAACACCGGUGGCGAAAGCGACGCGCUGGACCUCUUCUGACGCUGAGGCGCGAAAGCCAGGGGAGCGAACGGG
rnacentral:rRNA from 1 species